UACGAAGGGGGCUAGCGUUGUUCGGAAUUACUGGGCGUAAAGCGCGCGCAGGCGGCUAUCCAAGUCAGUGGUGAAAGCCCGGAGCUCAACUCCGGAACUGCCAUUGAAACUGUUUAGCUUGAGGAUGAGAGAGGUGAGUGGAAUUCCCAGUGUAGAGGUGAAAUUCGUAGAGAUCGGGAGGAACACCAGAGGCGAAGGCGGCGACCUGGACAGGCACUGACACUCAACUACGAAAGCGUGGGGAGCAAACAGG
rnacentral:rRNA from 1 species